GAUGAAGAACGUAGCGAAAUGCGAUAAGUAAUGUGAAUUGCAGAAUUCAGUGAAUCAUCGAAUCUUUGAACGCUCAUUGCGCCCGCCAGUAUUCUGGCGGGCAUGCCUGUUCGAGCGUCAUUUCAACCAUCAAGCCCUGCUUGCGUUGGGGUCCUGCGGCUGCCCGCAGGCCCUGAAAACCAGUGGCGGGCUCGCUAGUCACACCGAGCGCAGUAAUACAUCUCGCUUUGGGCGUGCGGCGGGUUCUUGCCGUUAAACACCCCCUUUUUACCAAGGUUGACCUCGGAUCAGGUAGGAAUACCCGCUGAACUUAAGCAUAUCAAUAAGCGGAGGA
rnacentral:misc_RNA from 1 species